UACGUAGGGGGCUAGCGUUGUCCGGAAUCAUUGGGCGUAAAGCGCGCGUAGGCGGCCCGGUAAGUCCGCUGUGAAAGUCAAAGGCUCAACCUUUGAAUGUCAGCGGAUACUGCCGGGCUAGAGUCCGGAAGAGGCGAGUGGAAUUCCUGGUGUAGCGGUGGAAUGCGCAGAUAUCGGGAGGAACACCAACGGCGAAGGCAGCUCGCUGGGACGGUACUGACGCUGAGGCGCGAAAGCGUGGGGAGCGAACAGG
rnacentral:rRNA from 1 species